rnacentral:rRNA from 1 species
AUACGUAGGGGGCGAGCGUUGUCCGGAUUUAUUGGGCGUAAAGGGUGCGUAGGCGGCCUUGUAAGUCAGAUGUGAAAUCUCACGGCUUAACCGUGGUAAGCAUUUGAAACUGUGAGGCUUGAGUACGGGAGAGGAGAGUGGAAUUCCUAGUGUAGCGGUGAAAUGCGUAGAUAUUAGGAGGAAUACCAGUGGCGAAGGCGACUCUCUGGACUGUAACUGACGCUGAGGCACGAAAGCGUGGGGAGCAAACAGGAUUAGAUACCCUGGUAGUCCACGCCGUAAACGAUGAGUGCUAGGUGUCGGGGGUCAAACCUCGGUGCCGCAGUUAACACAUUAAGCACUCCGCCUGGGGAGUACGGUGGCAACACUGAAACUUAAAUGAAUCGGCGGGG